rnacentral:lncRNA from 1 species
GAGUUCAUGAUCCGAUCAGAUGGUUGAUCAAUGAUUAAGAAUCAUUCUAGGGUUAAACGAUCAAUACGAUUGACAUUUAACCUAGUGCAAGUGUUGCAGGAGGAUUGAUUAGCAAUUUGAUUGCUAAUUGGCUUAAUUUGAUUAAGCCAAUAUGCUAAGAUUAAGUUUAAUUAAAUAUAAUUUAAUUAGAUUUGGUUUGGGCUUGAUUGG